rnacentral:rRNA from 1 species
GACGAACGCUGGCGGCGUGCUUAACACAUGCAAGUCGAACGGAAAGGCCCUGCUUGCAGGGUACUCGAGUGGCGAACGGGUGAGUAACACGUGGGUGAUCUGCCCUGCACUUCGGGAUAAGCCUGGGAAACUGGGUCUAAUACCGGAUAGGAGCCAUUUUUAGUGUGAUGGUUGGAAAGUUUUUUCAGUGUAGGAUGAGCUCGCGGCCUAUCAGCUUGUUGGUGGGGUAAUGGCCUACCAAGGCGGCGACGGGUAGCCGGCCUGAGAGGGUGGACGGCCACAUUGGGACUGAGAUACGGCCCAGACUCCUACGGGAGGCAGCAGUGGGGAAUAUUGCACAAUGGGCGCAAGCCUGAUGCAGCGACGCCGCGGGGGGGAUGACGGCCUUCGGGUUGUAAACUCCUUUCGCUAGGGACGAAGCUUUUUGUGACGGUACCUAGAUAAGAAGCACCGGCUAACUACGUG